rnacentral:rRNA from 1 species
UAGGGAAUCUUCCACAAUAGACGAAAGUCUGAUGGAGCAACGCCGCGUGAGUGAAGAAGGUUUUCGGAUCGUAAAGCUCUGUUGUUGGUGAAGAAGGAUAGAGGCAGUAACUGGUCUUUAUUUGACGGUAAUCAACCAGAAAGUCACGGCUAACUACGUGCCAG